rnacentral:lncRNA from 1 species
GUCAUUGAUGCAUACCUGCACCGUGUCAUUGAGAGACGAAAGGUAAUGAAGUGAGAUCGAUCAAUAAACGACGGAGGCUCCAGAAAAGUGCAAUCAAACGAUGAGUUUAUUAACACAGGAGAACAACCAUCAGCAUAUGGCCUGUUUUGCUCUGACAGAAAUACACUGGGUUCUGGUUUUAUAGCAUAGAGGAUCACGCCCCCACGUACAUGUCAAAUACAGGUCAAAAAUACAUUAUGUACAGUCAUUGUUUUCAGACAAGGGUACAUCUUGUACAUCUCUAAUAACUAUAAACAGACAUGUAACUUCUCUUUUCUAUAACACUUGCCUUUUAAGGUAAUAAACUUCAAGCUUCAGGGUCUCUGAGAGCUAAUAAUGGACCCUCGUCAUCAAUCACUAAGUAGACAGAAUCGCAGCAGGUCUCAAAGAAAAGCAGAAGACACUUGGGCCUUCGCUCAGGCCUGCUACUAGAUUAAUAUGUGUAUUGUAAGCAUGCAUGCAAUUAACCUGCUAUGUUCUCAUCUUCCCUCAACAUGUAUCACCUGGACACUCUCACCAGUAAAGCUUAAAACCCUCUUGGAUGGAACAUCAACUCUAAACAAGCACAGAUAUGCACUGUGUAUAAAAUGAACUCUACCUGUGAAUAGAAUGGUCAAUGUGAUGACAAACAUAUUCAAUGCAAUAUGAACCCUGUAAGGAAUAUUAUAUAUAUUCAUAUAUUAUAUAAUAUAUGAAGGUGUUAAUGACAGGAAAAUUCUGCGCAACUGGAGGUAUGUAUGAUACUGAGGUAUUAUUCUUCUAUGUUUUAUGUUUAGGUAUUAAACAUAAAACAUUUCUUGUUUCAUUACAAACAUUUUUGUUCAACUAGGAAUUUUCUGAGGAUGAGAGGGCAUGAAGACACCAUGGAGUGGCAGUUACAGACUAUGCAACACAACAAGCAACAGGAUUCCAGCAGUUGCGGAGUUUUGCUGUUAAAGUUUGCAGAACAGUACCUUGCUUUUGGAGAGGUCAGUGAGGUGUUAACCACUACAGAAGCAGUUGUGCUGGAGCGAAUGCAGAUAGCUUGCACCCUACUUGAACAUCGAGGGAACGCUGAGGACUACUGCACUGUUUGCUCUAUGUUAGAUGCUGACGCUGACCGCAGCAUGAUUGAAAUGGUGCAGUGUGAAUCUUGCCAAAGAUGGGCACAUUUUGCAUGUGCAAAAUAUAAAGAGAGCAACCAAGAAGAUAAAUGCAAAAAAUGUAAGGAAAAUACAUAACAACUUCAAAUAAAAACAGCUGUCUUUUCCCCUCCAUGUCUCUUUGUAUUCUUUGUCAACAUUAGAUGAUUGUGUGCUGGAGGCAUGUUUUGAUACCUAAAUAAAUC